GGAACGUGACCCAAUGGCAGGAAUCAUGGAUUUAAUGAAGAAUAUGUACGACGAAGGAGAUGAUGAAAUGAAAAGAACGAUAGCGAAGGCAUGGACUGAUGCCAGAACUGGCAAGACCGCUGAUCCACUUAAAGGUUUCCCUUAAGCAAAUGCAGGGCAAAUCUAAUUAUCAUCUUUUAGGAAUGAUUUUUCGGUUGGGUGAAUGAAAUCAUAUGGACUGCAUUUUUGUUGGCCAAGCUAUUAUGGUUUUGAAUCCUUUUGAUUGCUUUAGUU
rnacentral:misc_RNA from 1 species